UGAGGAACAUGACCUUCGGCGGGGGAUAGCCGGCCCAACGGCCGGGUAAUACCGCGUACGACCUUUCGGGGACAUCCCUGGAUGGUGAAAGCAGCAAUGCGCCGAUGGAGUGCCUCGCGGCCUAUCAGCUAGUUGGUGAGGUAACGGCUCACCAAGGCUGCGAUGGGUAGCUGGUCUGAGAGGACGAUCAGCCACACUGGGACUGAGACACGGCCCAGACCUCUACGGGA
rnacentral:rRNA from 1 species